rnacentral:rRNA from 2 species
AGCAGGUCCCAAGGGUUGGGCUGUUCGCCCAUUAAAGCGGUACGCGAGCUGGGUUUAGAACGUCGUGAGACAGUUCGGUCCCUAUCCUCUGUAGCCGUAGGAGAUUUGAGAAAGGCUGUCCCUAGUACGAGAGGACCGGGAUGGACGCAGCUCUCGUGUGCCAGUUGUUCCGCCAGGAGCAUGGCUGGUUGGCGACCUGCGGAAAGGAUAAGCGCUGAAAGCAUCUAAGCGCGAAACCUGUUUCGAGAUGAGAUCUCCCACUGGAUAACCAGGUAAGGCCCGUGGCAGACCACCACGUUGAUAGGCCGGAUGUGUAAGCGCGGCGACGUGUUCAGCAGACCGGUACUAAUCGGCCGAGGGCUUGGGCUC